rnacentral:lncRNA from 1 species
UGAUCCAGCCCCUUCCUUUUUCCUUUUUUGCUUUUGCUACCCUCCAUCCAACUCUAUCACUUAUUAUUAGCUAUUAGCCCUCUCACAACCAUUGCUCUCUGUAUCUCCUGUCUUGGGUUGAUUUUGUCCCGAUGAUAGAUAAAAGAAUUUCCAGUAUAGAUCUAUAUUGUAUAUCAUAUUGCUUAUAUUUCAAAUAGCUAAACUGAGCAGCGAUUUGGGUGCUAGGUGCUGAGAUAUCAAGAAUACCUGUCUUACCAUUGAUUUGUCUCCAUGAUAAAUAGGAGAAUUUUCAAUAUUGAUGGACAUUUGCAUAUCAUAUCUUUUGAUAUUUCAGAUAGCUUAUCUAGGGUUUAGGUUUCUGGAUCCCAAGAUAUGGAAAAUAAAAUUCUUGAUUUCAUAUUCAUUUUACACUUUUAAUCUAUAUAUCAAUAUAUUUUAGGCAAAAAGUUGAUACCUAUAUGCUAAAAGAACAAAUAAAAUCUGCAACAAUGAUAUGAGGAAAUAAAAAUUAUUGGAUGGAUCAGGUCCAAAUGGAUCAAGCCACUAAUCAAUUACUGCAUCAUCCAUUCUUAUAUCCAAACUAUUCAAGAUCAAAAUGGGAUGAGAAUUUAUACUGUCAUUCACC